rnacentral:rRNA from 1 species
UUUAGUAACGGCGAGUGAAGCGGUAACAGCUCAAAUUUGAAAUCUGGCUCCCUGCGGAGUCCGAGUUGUAAUUUGUAGAAGAUGCUUUGGGUGCUCGGCCCGGUCUAAGUUCCUUGGAACAGGACGUCGUAGAGGGUGAGAAUCCCGUAUGCGGCCGGGGUGGGUGCUCGUGUAAAGCUCUUUCGACGAGUCGAGUUGUUUGGGAAUGCAGCUCAAAAUGGGUGGUAAAUUUCAUCUAAAGCUAAAUAUGGGCCAGAGACCGAUAGCGCACAAGUAGAGUGAUCGAAAGAUGAAAAGCACUUUGGAAAGAGAGUUAAACAGUACGUGAAAUUGUUGAAAGGGAAGCGCUUGCAACCAGACUUGGGCGUCGCUGAUCAUCCAAAGUUUUCUUUGGUGCACUCGACGACGUACAGGCCAGCAUCGGUUGGGGUGGUGGGAGAAAGGUUGUAGGAACGUAGCUCUUUUCGGGGAGUGUUAUAGCCUGCGACGCAAUGCCGCCUACCCUGACCGAGGACCGCGCUUCGGCUAGGAUGCUGGCGUAAUGGUUGUAAGCGACCCGUCUUGAAACACGGACCAAGGAGUCUAACAUCUAUGCGAGUGUUUGGGUGCGAAACCCAUGCGCGAAAUGAAAGUGAACGUAGGUGAGAACCCUUCGAGGGGGCAUCAUCGACCGAUCCUGAUGUCUUCGGAUGGAUUUGAGUAAGAACAUAGCUGUUGGGACCAAAA